ACGAGAGGACCGGGGUGGACAGACCGCUGGUGUGCCAGUUGUCGUGCCAACGGCAUAGCUGGGUAGCUAAGUCUGGAACGGAUAACCGCUGAAAGCAUCUAAGUGGGAAGCCAGCUUCAAGAUAAAUUCCCUCACAGGGUUAACCUGGUAAGUGCGCUGGUAGACGACCAGCUUGAUAGGCGGCACGUGUACGGGCAGAGAUGUCUUUAGCGAAGCCGUACUAAUGCACGAGGGCUUAAUCUA
rnacentral:rRNA from 1 species